rnacentral:tRNA from 1 species
UCCCGUGUGGCUCAGUUGGUAGAGCAUGGUGUUUGCAACGCCAGGGUUGUGGGUUCAAUUCCCACUGGGGAC